rnacentral:rRNA from 1 species
GUAGGGAAUCUUCCGCAAUGGACGAAAGUCUGACGGAGCAACGCCGCGUGAGUGAUGAAGGUUUUCGGAUCGUAAAGCUCUGUUGUUAGGGAAGAACAAGUGCCGUUCAAAUAGGGCGGCACCUUGACGGUACCUAACCAGAAAGCCACGGCUAACUACGUGCCAGCAGCCGCGGUAAUACGUAGGUGGCAAGCGUUGUCCGGAAUUAUUGGGCGUAAAGGGCUCGCAGGCGGUUUCUUAAGUCUGAUGUGAAAGCCCCCGGCUCAACCGGGGAGGGUCAUUGGAAACUGGGGAACUUGAGUGCAGAAGAGGAGAGUGGAAUUCCACGUGUAGCGGUGAAAUGCGUAGAGAUGUGGAGGAACACCAGUGGCGAAGGCGACUCUCUGGUCUGUAACUGACGCUGAGGAGCGAAAGCGUGGGGAGCGAAGAGGAUUAGAUACCCUGGUAGUCCACGCCGUAAACGAUGAGUGCUAAGUGUUAGGGGGUUUCCGCCCCUUAGUGCUGCA